UAUAAUCAUUUAAAAUAUAUGUAUGCUUCUGUGUCACAUAUAUGUCAGAAGAUGUCAUAGAGGAGAGAACCUAUGUCUAUGCUCAGUGUUCUGACUGAUGAACAUCUGAAAGAUUAAUAGCUUUAAAAU